AGAGUUUGAUCCUGGCUCAGAUUGAACGCUGGCGGCAUGCUUUACACAUGCAAGUCGGACGGCAGCACAGGGAAGCUUGCUUCUCGGGUGGCGAGUGGCGAACGGGUGAGUAACAUAUCGGAACGUACCGGGUAGCGGGGGAUAACUGAUCGAAAGAUCAGCUAAUACCGCAUACGUCUUGAGAGGGAAAGCAGGGGACCUUCGGGCCUUGCGCUAUCCGAGCGGCCGAUAUCUGAUUAGCUGGUUGGCGGGGUAAAGGCCCACCAAGGCGACGAUCAGUAGCGGGUCUGAGAGGAUGAUCCGCCACACUGGGACUGAGACACGGCCCAGACUCCUACGGGAGGCAGCAGUGGGGAAUUUUGGACAAUGGGCGCAAGCCUGAUCCAGCCAUGCCGCGUGUCUGAAGAAGGCCUUCGGGUUGUAAAGGACUUUUGUCAGGGAAGAAAAGGCCGUUGCCAAUAUCGGCGGCCGAUGACGGUACCUGAAGAAUAAGCACCGGCUAACUACGUGCCAGCAGCCGCGGUAAUACGUAGGGUGCGAGCGUUAAUCGGAAUUACUGGGCGUAAAGCGGGCGCAGACGGUUACUUAAGCAGGAUGUGAAAUCCCCGGGCUCAACCCGGGAACUGCGUUCUGAACUGGGUGACUCGAGUGUGUCAGAGGGAGGUGGAAUUCCACGUGUAGCAGUGAAAUGCGUAGAGAUGUGGAGGAAUACCGAUGGCGAAGGCAGCCUCCUGGGAUAACACUGACGUUCAUGUCCGAAAGCGUGGGUAGCAAACAGGAUUAGAUACCCUGGUAGUCCACGCCCUAAACGAUGUCAAUUAGCUGUUGGGCAACUUGAUUGCUUGGUAGCGUAGCUAACGCGUGAAAUUGACCGCCUGGGGAGUACGGUCGCAAGAUUAAAACUCAAAGGAAUUGACGGGGACCCGCACAAGCGGUGGAUGAUGUGGAUUAAUUCGAUGCAACGCGAAGAACCUUACCUGGUUUUGACAUGUGCGGAAUCCUCCGGAGACGGAGGAGUGCCUUCGGGAGCCGUAACACAGGUGCUGCAUGGCUGUCGUCAGCUCGUGUCGUGAGAUGUUGGGUUAAGUCCCGCAACGAGCGCAACCCUUGUCAUUAGUUGCUAUCAUUCGGUUGGGCACUCUAAUGAGACUGCCGGUGACAAGCCGGAGGAAGGUGGGGAUGACGUCAAGUCCUCAUGGCCCUUAUGACCAGGGCUUCACACGUCAUACAAUGGUCGGUACAGAGGGUAGCCAAGCCGCGAGGCGGAGCCAAUCUCACAAAACCGAUCGUAGUCCGGAUUGCACUCUGCAACUCGAGUGCAUGAAGUCGGAAUCGCUAGUAAUCGCAGGUCAGCAUACUGCGGUGAAUACGUUCCCGGGUCUUGUACACACCGCCCGUCACACCAUGGGAGUGGGGGAUACCAGAAGUAGGUAGGGUAACCGCAAGGAGUCCGCUUACCACGGUAUGCUUCAUGACUGGGGUGAAGUCGUAACAAGGUAGCCGUAGGGGAACCUGCGGCUGGAUCACCU
rnacentral:rRNA from 1 species